AGCUUAUAGAAACGGUGUUAUAAUGGCUAUGUUCCAAAAUUGACUGCCAGUACUGAAAAUUUAUAAUGCACAUAACGUAAACUGUAG